rnacentral:rRNA from 1 species
UACAGAGGUCCCGAGCGUUGUUCGGAUUCACUGGGCGUAAAGGGUGCGUAGGUGGCUUGGAAAGUUUGAUGUGAAAGCUCAGGCUAACCCUGAAAUGGCUUGAAUACUGCUGAGCUGGAGUUUGGAGGGGGACUGGAAUUCUUGGUGUAGCAGUGAAAUGCGUAGAUAUCAAGAGGAACACCAGUGGCGAAGGCGAGUCCCUGGACAAACACCUGACACUGAGGCACGAAAGCUAGGGAGCAAACAGG